rnacentral:other from 2 species
AUAUUCCUGGCAGGUACGUGAUGGAGAUGAGUUAUUUUGAGCCAACAUUAACCUCAAGGGAGCCGCUGCGCAGUUCUGGUGUGCAUGCCCCGCAGAGUCCGGGGAAGCCUGAAGGAGCUGCUUUGGCGCCCACCUGUAAAAACGAGGUUCAAGAUAAUUCUCCACACGGCCUGCCGGGAUAACU